rnacentral:lncRNA from 1 species
CCAGCUCCUCUGAGAUGCUGACAGGAAGCAGGGAGGGAUCCCGUCCAUAGCCAGAGCUUACAAACCUUCCGCUGCGGCUUAAUUCUGGCCCAAGCAGAUAUAUUUGGUUACACGUUAGGGAUUUGUUUUCACUCAACACUAAAUUUUAUUAAGAAUUGAAUGAUGAAGUUCAAUGAUGACACGGAGUUAGGGAAACAAAUAUUGCCUGGCUUUUACCUUGCUGGGAAUCUGCUACACGAUUCUGAAAACUCUCAAACUAGACAUGCUUUAUUCCCUAUGAGUAUUUUCCUAACUACAUUCUAAAAGUCAAUGACACUGUCAUUUUAUGUACAUGUACUAACCCAACUUUGCCAAUUUUUAAAAUCACGUGGUUAAGUAAAAUUCACUUUAUUGUAAAAUAGAUUGCACUGGCACUGCUGGUGUUUUCCUCUGCCAUUCUCUCUCCAGCACUGCAGCCCUUUAUUGUCCACACACACAAUCAAACUAAGAGAAGAAACCAGGAGGACUGUUGGCCGCCAGUUGAGCCAGCUUUCCCACUCAGAGCUGUGGGUUUCUACGGAACCCUCACAUCAAGAGAGAGGAGGGAACUGCUGCCGAGUAGCCUUCCGGUGCACAGGCUUCUCAGUUCAGAGGUCAUCGGUAACUGGAAUGAGAACGGCUAGUCCAAACGAUGAGAGUUACUACAAAAGACCUUCAAGUGUCGCACGGCUCGCCUCAUACUAGUGAACAAUGAGGAGUUGAGAGCCCUACUGCCUCAUCCCACUUCCUACACCAAGGGGAGGAGCCCUUGUGGUAAUGCUUCAAUCAUCAUUAAAGCAGAUUCCUAGUACACACUGGGGUGGCCACAGAACACGCUACCUAAAGCACCACCAAUGAGCUACUGACCCAAAGACUCUGAAGGACGUGAGGACAGGGUGGUAUCCAAAGGAAGAAGCCCAAAGCAUAAACUCACAGUACUAGGGCUACUAAAAUGUCAGCGUGAAAGGAUGUUUGCUAUAUAGGCACUCUAAAUUCAAUUAUCCCAUUUCCACAGCACUUACAAUCCUGGGUGACUCAUUCAACCUUGCAGAGCGUGGUUAUCUUCUAUGCAAAUUGCUGGUGCGGUACCGGCAUGGUGGGAGAGUUACUGUGAGGUAGAUAAUAAUAAGAAUGGAUCUAGAACAUUCGGCCAGUGUCAGCACUCAAUAAGCAUUCAUUUCCUUCUCUGCUCUCUUAAUUCAAAGGUUCUAUUAAUCCAGUAAGGGAUUUUAUAGGUUAUAAUUUGUGCAGUUGGUAGAUUUAGUGGUAAAUCACAGGAUUUAAAAGAGCCAAUGGUGACACCAGGAGUCAGAAGACAUUAAUAAGAGGA